AUCAAAUAGUGUCCUGUAACGGGAUGUGAUCCGAAGCCACCUAAAGAUUCCAUCCAACUCUUAUUCCGACACGUCCACGUUGUGCAGUGUGGUAACAUGGGUCCAAGUCCAACCUUUCGAACAGGCGACGGCUCAUGGCUAAGGAGGAAGUG
rnacentral:ribozyme from 1 species